AUCCCUGAUAAGUGAGAACUCCUGGAAUGGAUUCUCGCUGAAAGGACGUUUAGACCAUGCUUCUAGGCGUCGCCCAAGGAGGGGGCCGCGACCGAUCAGGUUGUUGGUGAGGUAACGGCUCACCAAGCCUUUAACCGGUACGGGCCGUGAGAGCGGAAGCCCGGAGAUGGGCACUGAGACAAGGGCCCAGGCCCUACGGGGCGCAGCAGUCGCGAAAACUCCGCAAUACACGAAAGUGUGACGGGGCUAUCCCGAGUGCCAUCCGCUGAGGAUGGCUUUUCCCCAGUGUAUAAAGCUGGGGGAAUAAGGAGAGGGCAAGCCUGGUGUCAGCCGCCGCGGUAAUACCAGCUCUCCGAGUGGUGGGGAUGUUUAUUGGGCCUAAAGCAUUCGUAGCCUGCUUGGCAAGUCCUCCGUUAAAUCCAACGAUUCAAUCGUUGGGCUGCGGGGGAUACUGUCCAGCUAGGGGGCGGGAGAGGCCGACGGUAUCCCCGGGGUAGGGGUGAAAUCCUAUAAUCCCGGGAGGACCACCAGUGGCGAAGGCUGUCGGCUAGAACGCGCUCGACGGUGAGGGAUGAAAGCUGGGGGAGCGAACCGGAUUAGAUACCCGGGUAGUCCCA
rnacentral:rRNA from 1 species